CUUUUGUAUACUAUUCAUUUAUUUUGUGUGUGUCUAGUGCACAGGAAAAAGCUCAGUGUAAUAAAAUUAACAACUGCAGCUGUAGAAUGAGUAAUACCGCAACCCAAGCCUAAGACUGGCAAGUCACAAUGCUUUGCCAGCCCUUGAAUGGAAGUCACUCAUGUGGGAAACAGAAAAUCCAUCUUUCAAUUGUCCCAGAAGGUUCUUUCUCAACAUGAAUGUUUCUAUAAGUUGUUUAUAUCCCGUUGACUGUAACGCUAUUACCUCGAUUGGGAACAGAUGUUGAUAAAAAAUAAAUUUGGAGAAGCUGAAUGUUUUCUCUAAGGACACACAGCAAGUUAGUGGGAGGCUGCUUCCUGCAACUGAAGGUCAUUCCUCUUUGUUAGAAGACUAAGGGUCCCUGACCUGAUCUGUGGAGCACCAGGGUGGAGAGAGUGGAAUAAGCAGCAAAACGAAAAAUUGGAUGCUGUUUUCAAAAGUUUUGUUCUCAUUCUUGGAUUAUAGAUUAUCUAAAGGGAAAAUUUAACUCAACCAAAAAAUUCGUUCAGCUCCAUGAAGCUAAAGAUGCUAUAAACUGACUCUUUCCUAAAGAGCACCAAACCUGAAAUUUUUCCUGCUAGAGAGGAACUAAUCUUCAAGGACACCUGUCUAUUGCUAGACAUUAAGAAGGAAGGUGAACUCCGUUCUGUCUUCAUAAAACACAUUUUUGUCUUUCCCCCUCACUCCUCCACUGAACCCACUAUGUUUACAAGUACAAGCUAUGACUGUGGAGGUGGAAAAUCUGAUACUGUCAGCACAAGUGGAACAAAAUGAAAAGAGAAAAAAAUCUACACACCCAUCUGGACUUCCAUAUGCUCUGUAGCCCAGAGGCUAAUAUAAUUCCUUGAAUGUUGGUUAUAAAGCAAUGUGAUAUGGAUGACUGCUAUGCACUGAGCUUAUUUAGACAAGUGUUCUUUCUACUCAAUAAACCUUUGAAAGGAUUAAAGUACAAUCACUC
rnacentral:lncRNA from 1 species